AGCUCAAGGAUUUUGUUAAACAAUCUAGGCGCUUCAAAACACUAAGCUGUUGGGUCAGCCUUAUGGUCAAUUAUCUUCAUUUGCGGUGUUAAACAUUUUGCAAGAUAAGGCAAAACUUUACAUUACAGUGCCCUUAUUACUGUGUAAUUACUGCUGUAAGUACAGUGUAACAAGUAUCGUAAUACUUACAGCAGUAAACCUAAACCUAGCCCUAACACUGAUGAUAACCUUUACCCUAAGCCUAAAUACAGGGUCAGUACAGUGUAACAAUGAGUAAUUACAAUAGGCUACUUGUUACACUGUAUUUACACAGUAAUAAGAGCACUGUAAUGUAGAUUAUUUUCUGAAAAGUUAUUAACACCCUAUCUAGUUUUAGAUCCCUUCUUCUCCAAUCCCAUGGUAGGACCCCUGAUAACAAUCACAACAAAUUAUUAAAGGUAAGCAGUGUUGAUUAUGGUUAGCGUCUUGAAUGAGAAAUCUUCAACAAGGCCGCUGUAGAUUGCUCAAUUUACCAUUACGCUGUGCUACCAUGUCUAACUUUUUCUUAAAAUUUUUCUUAAAAUUGAUACUUGAAGACCGCACCUGUUUCUAAAGUACAAAAUCAACGUAUUUUCCCCGCUUUUUAUAUCUCGUCCCAAACCUUAAACCUCAGAGCAACAGGGUUGAACACUUUUUGCAGAUACAAAGAAAAAUGUCAUUGAUGUUCUACAUGAGGUACGUUGAAAUAUGACUUUGACACAGUGUCCAUUCCAUGUGUUUUUAUCCAGGUGGGUCAACAUUCAACUCUCUUUAAAUAUGUGUAAGCAGGCACUAUGUCUACCUACAGGUGUUAUUACCACAUCUGCCAAUUACUCAUUCAAAUCUAUAUUGGAAUAAUUUCCAACAUCCUAUAUAUCAAGCAGGAUUUUCACUUUGAGAUUGAUCACAGGGAAACCACCCCAAAGUGGUUAUUGUGAAAUAAGAUUAGGGUUUAUCAGAUUCCUCUUUAGGUUCUGUUUCUGGGUGAGCUGAUCUGACAGAGUUAGCAAGGCUAAAGAGUGUGACCCGCUCUUAGCUUUGCUACACUCACAUUCUAUGUAUCUCUCUGAAAGUCCAGGGAUAGUACAUUUCACUACUGUGGCUAGUAAUAAUUGGGUUCUCAUGAGGAAUUUAUGAGAAAAUUCACUGUCCAAGUUUUCAGCACCAACUCUCUAAGUGGAGUGUGGCGUGUGGAGUGUGACCCUGGGUGUUUACUGUAGUCACAAUGUUUACUGACAGUCAAUUACAAAAUCACCAAUGGAACGUUGCACCUUCUUUGCUACACAGUAAGAGCUUUAGUGCCAUCAGGUGGAUACAUGUUUUUACUGCAUUAAGUGUAAUCGCUUAAAACAACCUCAGAUAGGUCAAAAAUAUGAGGACUGAUAAUGUAUCCAAUUAUUAUUACAUAUUUUUUGUUCAUAACUGGAAGUACACGCCCCGUAAUAUAAUAUUAAAGAUGCAUAGCAGUUGUGUUUACAGUCUGGGUUGAGCUGCAGUGUCGGCAGCACAGAGAAAGGAUCAGACAUUACUAAAAAUAGUAAUUUUAGCUAAGAUGCCUAACUUAUCUAUUAGCAUGCCAAUAGAACGAACUCAACAACAACUGAACAAAGUUGACUUGCACUACCUGGCUAGCUAGCAUUAGCCGGCUAACGUUACUGCCAAAGAUCUUUAUAACUAAACCUCAUUGUUCUAUCUGUGUUAGUGCUGACUAGCUAGCAGGCUUGCUAGCUACAGUAGCUAGCCCUACCUGGCUAUGGCUAUAGUCAUGCUAGCUAGUGGAAGUAAGUUACUCCCUCAUGCUAGGUAGUUGUAGCUAGCUAGUGGAAAUAAGUUAACGUUAGUCCCUCAACCUGCUGCUACAAGAUGAAGCGGCCCGGCCAAAGCGAGGUAGCUGCUGCAGAAAGAAUGUGCCCGCAGGAGAAGGACACACUAUGACAUCUGAGCAGAUCUUCAUCCAGUUACAUCAGCCAAUACAUCCAGUCACUCAGCCCUAUCCAGAAGCUCUCAAGGUCCUAUACUACUUCCUUCUACAACACCCUGAUGAGAAGCAAAAAGUAUGGCCCAAUGACUGGCCCCACAGGCCAGGGUUGCCAGGCCUGUGGGAGAGAGUGGGCACAGAACUCAUCAGUGCCUAAAGUGCCAGGGAGAAGGUCCACCAGAAACUCAGCGCGUGGUCGGUCUGGGGGCAGCCCUGGCAGUGAUGAAGGAUCUUCUACCUUUAAAUUUUUCUAAACCAUUUUUUCCAGUGUUAAUGUUUCUGAAAGUUAAUCACACAAUAGGCUACAGUUCUACAGCUACAGUAGAAAACAACAUUUGUUUGGCAGUAGUCAAUAUGUUCCAUUAUAGGCCAUAACAAGAUGCAUUGUCACAGCUCAGUGAUAUCACUUGCAGAUGUGUGUAGAUCGACCAGUGCCCUGUUUGUUGUUUUCAUUGAGUUUAGAAACAAAAUGACAUACGUCAUUCAGUUGUGGCUUGUUAGCUCUGACAA